rnacentral:rRNA from 1 species
UACGUAGGGUGCAAGCGUUGUCCGGAAUUAUUGGGCGUAAAGGGCGCGUAGGCGGCUUGGCAAGUGGAUGGUGAAAUCCCUCGGCUUAACCGAGGAACUGCCGUCCAAACUGCUUUGCUUGAGACCGGGAGAGGUGAGUGGAAUUCCCAGUGUAGCGGUGAAAUGCGUAGAUAUUGGGAGGAACACCAGUGGCGAAGGCGGCUCACUGGACCGGUUCUGACGCUGAGGCGCGAAAGCGUGGGGAGCAAACGGG